rnacentral:lncRNA from 1 species
CCUGCUCUUCAUGAUCCUCUGGAGGUGUUUGAUCUGUUCUCGAUAGCAGGAGCAUCGGGAUGUGCUCAGACUGAUGCUGACCAGGUUUGGCCCCACUCGCUGUCUCUGGACAACCUCAAGCCUAGCAAUGUUGAUAGUAGCACAAUAAGCACUACUGGAACAUAGUGUUGGUCAGCUACACGCUGCGCACGUUGUAUGGAACCUGAGCCCCAGCCCCUUGGUUCGUGCUCUUCUCCCAUGACUUCCAUUGCAACCGCUGCUGCAGUCAGCUGGCAUGUGGCCUGUCCUCAGUUCAGCUGUGCUGCAGAGCUCUUUCUUUUGAAUUGGAUGAGUUAUUUUCCUAUUCUUGAUAUUAUUUAAAUGAUUUUUCCCUCCACCUUCCCCCAACGGAAUUUGCUGAGUGCUGACCUGCAGUGAGCAUCUCUGCAGGGCUGGGAUGCUGCAGUUGGUGGGGCUAUGUGCCGAGCAAUGCUAACACCUGCAUGCAAAGCACUGCUGCAGAGUAGCCCUUCCCCAGGCCAGCUCCAGGCUUGCUCCUCCAAGGAAGUCUGCUUCCCCCCUAGCCCCAGCUCUCCACCCUUGGACCAUGCAUGGGGAAAACAAACCUCAACCAGCAUGUGCAUCCUCUGCUCCGCUCAGACUGAGCUGGGAUAAGCUCUUCCAUCACCCCGGGCUCCAUCCUGUGGCUGCUUGGGUCAUGAUGCUCAGAGACGUGUGAUGGGAGAGGACACUGAAACUAUGCCUCUUCCUUUUGUGCAGUUCUCCGUUCUGCAGCAGUAAGUGCAACGUCCCAGGGUCCCUGAGCCACGCUGGCCUUGGUGCAGGCUAUGUUGAGGAUUCAGGUGGAAACAACCCCAUUCUUUUGGACUGUUUCUCUCUGUGCCCUAUGCAGCCCCUCCUUUUUGUGUGUGGGACGUUUAAAUUAAGGUUGCCUUUACCCAUGUCCUUCUGUCAUUCCUACACAGCCUCUUUUCCCUUCAGACAAAUGAUAUUCAAAGCAUCUCUUUGCACCCAUAAACAUCAACUGCAACUUGCCAAUUCCCCCAUUGGUACUGAGCAAACCCCAGUCCUCUGUCUCUGCCACCCUCUUCUCUGUUUUUCUGAUGGGAAUUCCUGCCCUGAAUGACUUCUUUUUGUUGUAAAUAAAGCAUGCACAUAUGGAUUGGGAAUGGUGGAAACAAGAACAAAAAGCCUCUUCUGCUGUUUGCAUUCAAACUUGCAUGCAGUGAUUUUACAGCAAAGUAUCAGUUUACAACUAUUAAGAGAAAAAGAAGAUGUUACACAGGAACUAGAGCUACUCCAGUCUUCCGCUGCAUGCAGCACAACAUCCUCUCUUGAUGUGGUAUCUAAUAAAGUGAGACUAUUGGAAAAGGAAAAUAUCAAA